rnacentral:lncRNA from 1 species
GGUGCAUAUGUUUUUUGAAAUUUUAAGAAACUCUUUUAAGAAUCUAAUUCACCCUUCUUCUUGGGUUGCUAGACUGGGCAGCAAAUAGCAUCUUAUAAAGAAGCCCAUGCUCAGACCGAUUCGAUAAAUGGAAUAUUAUAGAAACUAAGCAGAAUCCUUGCUGCUUUAACUAGUCUCCCAGAAGAGUCCCUUAUGAUAUAAUCUAUAAUAGCUGAGAAAGGGG